UAGCAGGCCUUCGGGCGCUGACGAGCGGCGGACGGGUGAGGAACACGUAGGAAUCUGCCUUGUAGUGGGGGAUAGCCCAGAGAAAUUUGGAGUAAUACCGCAUAUGCCCUGAAGGGGAAAGUGGGGGACCGAAAGGCCUCACGCUAUGAGAGGAGCCUGCGUCGGAUUAGCUAGUUGGUGGGGUAAGAGCCCACCAAGGCGACGAUCCGUAGCUGGUCUGAGAGGAUGAUCAGCCACACUGGGACUGAGACACGGCCCAGACUCCUACGGGAGGCAGCAGUGGGGAAUAUUGGACAAUGGGCGAAAGCCUGAUCCAGCCAUGCCGCGUGUGUGAAGAAGGCCUUCGGGUUGUAAAGCACUUUAAGUGGGGAGGAAAAGCGCUGCGUGAAUAUCGUAGUGCCGUGACGUUACCCACAGAAUAAGCACCGGCAAACUCCGUGCCAGCAGCCGCGGUAAUACGGAGGGGUGCGAGCGUUAAUCGGAAUUACUGGGCGUAAAGCGCACGUAGGCGGUUCUGUAAGUGGA
rnacentral:rRNA from 1 species